AAGGAUCGAUGGGACAAAGAGGUCGAGGAAGGGUGUAAGAAAGAACCCCAUAAUAGAUUGUGGGACAUAUACCAAGAACAUCAUCUACAAGGAGGUUCUAACAAACUAGACCCACGGUAUUUCUAUUAAAACUGAAUUGUUUGUUAACGACAUAGAAUCUCAUGGAAUAAAUUUCUGUAAGCAUGAUCAUUCAUUGUUUAGUCUUUAUUAACAAUUAUAUUCUAUGCUUUAUAUUCUUACAACAUAAGAUUAUCUGUGUUCAGCCAAAUGGACAUAAUGAGUGCUAUUUUGCAAAAGCAUUUUGGAUUUUCCAGCCUCAAAGCAUUCCAAAAAUAAUAUAUCUCGUUGUUGCAUUUAGAUACAUUAUAUGUUAGAUAUAUAGUAAAAACAAUAUAUCUAGAAAAUAAAACAUUUUAUAGUUUUGAACGGAUGAAGUAAAUUCUAAUUCCCACCAAAAACGUCAUGCAUGUGCCCUCUGAUUUUCAGCCCUGGUGAUGACAUUGCUUGGAUCUGUCUUCACAAUGCUUGUGGCAGGUUCUGUAAAACAUUUUACCCAAACUUCUGCAGUGGAUUUUUGGUGGGACAAUUGAACAAGUUAAUAAAAAUGUGCUUCACGAUUUAUAGGCUCUGAUACUCCCAUAUGUGUGCUAUCUCUCCAUCAAGAAGGGUGCAAUACCUUUAUGGGAG
rnacentral:lncRNA from 1 species